rnacentral:rRNA from 1 species
AUUGAACGCUGGCGGCAUGCCUUACACAUGCAAGUCGAACGGCAGCACGGGAGCUUGCUCCUGGUGGCGAGUGGCGAACGGGUGAGUAAUGCAUCGGAACGUGCCCUGAAGUGGGGGAUAACGUAGCGAAAGUUACGCUAAUACCGCAUAUUCUGUGAGCAGGAAAGCAGGGGAUCUUCGGACCUUGCGCUUUUGGAGCGGCCGAUGUCGGAUUAGCUAGUCGGUGGGGUAAAGGCCCACCAAGGCGACGAUCCGUAGCGGGUCUGAGAGGAUGAUCCGCCACACUGGAACUGAGACACGGUCCAGACUCCUACGGGAGGCAGCAGUGGGGAAUUUUGGACAAUGGGCGGAAGCCUGAUCCAGCCAUGCCGCGUGAGUGAAGAAGGCCUCGGUGUAAG